UCCCUAAUUCUAUAAUACUAAUUUCAUGGUGGACCAUGAAAUCGAUAAUUCUAGAUCAUGUUAUUUCCGGCCCCUCCAGAGGUAUUCAGUGUCAUUAAACAAAAUGGUAAAGACGAGGGGUGAAACCCAAUCUACCCCCUUUUUUUACCUCUUUGUCUUCAUGCCACGGCCCCUGCUCACACCCUUGGUGGCUUGAAAUCCUCCGCAGACCUCCUCCCCUCC
rnacentral:lncRNA from 1 species